AUGAACUGCAGGAAAUACCGAGAGAGACUGCUGAAGACCAUGCAAGACCUGAACUGUGUCUCUAAGCUGCUGGACUCGUGCACUCUGAUGGAUCUGGGUUCAGACCUGCAGACCUCGAGGCUCCUGGAUCACUUCAGCCAGGCCAGACCACAUUUUAUUCAACUAGGCGCCGAAGCAGAGUUCAUGGUGAAGAGCUGGG